rnacentral:lncRNA from 1 species
CUGCUGUGUCCCAUAAUUGCAACCGUACUGUUCGAUCCUCCAAAUACAUGGUUUUUGAUAAGAAGUCAAUGCCAAUUGUUGCCUGGUAGGUGUUGUCAAAGCUGUCAUACAUGAACCUGGUGAUCAAGGAAGUCUUCCCCACGCUCUGCUCGCCCAGGAACACCAGCUUGAAUUUCCGCAGCGGGUUGCCGAAGUCCCCGCCCGCCGACAUGAUGGCACCGCCGCCCCGCUCGGUCGCUCUGGUCGCUCGUCCGCUCCACGCGGUUAGGGAUCAGCGAUUUUUUCCUCUCUUUUUUUUUCUUUUUCUAUUUUUUUCCCUUUUUCCCUUCUCCCUCCCCUCAGGCUGCGGGUAGGGCCGUGGGACCGCUCCCCGGCCGGGCUCGGGGAGGUGUACGGCGACGGAUCGCACGGCUGCCGCUCCCCUCAGGGCCGGGCUCCGUCCCCCGCGCCGCGCCGCCUCACACCGCCGCCGGUCCCGCCCCGCCCCUGCGCACGCGCGGCACCGCCCCGCCCCUCGGCGC